CCUACGGGGUGCAGCAGUCGAGAAUCAUUCACAAUGGGGGAAACCCUGAUGGUGCGACGCCGCGUGGGGGAAUGAAGGUCUUCGGAUUGUAAACCCCUGUCAUGUGGGAGCAAAUUAAAAAGAUAGUACCACAAGAGGAAGAGACGGCUAACUCUGUGCCAGCAGCCGCGGUAAUACAGAGGUCUCAAGCGUUGUUCGGAAUCACUGGGCGUAAGGCGUGCGUAGGCUGUUUCGUAAGUCGUGUGUGAAAGGCGCGGGCUCAACCCGCGGACGGCACAUGAUACUGCGAGACUAGAGUAAUGGAGGGGGAACCGGAAUGCUCGGUGUAGCAGUGAAAUGCGUAGAUAUCGAGAGGAACACUCGUGGCGAAGGCGGGUUCCUGGACAUUAACUGACGCUGAGGCACGAAGGCCAGGGGAGCGAAAGGGAUUAGAUACCCUAGUAGUC
rnacentral:rRNA from 1 species